CCCUUUUCCUGGUUAGUGCCCCUAAGGGUCCUGCUCUGAUUUAUAUUUCAGAACCUGUUCAUGAUCUCCCCUUCACCACAUUCAAGGCUCCUAAAAGGUAAACCUGCCCAUC